GAUGAACGCUGGCGGCGUGCCUAAUACAUGCAAGUCGAGCGAACAGACGAGGAGCUUGCUCCUCUGACGUUAGCGGCGGACGGGUGAGUAACACGUGGAUACCUACCUAUAAGACCGGGGAAACUUUGGGAAAACGGGGCUAAAACCGGGAAAUAUAAUGAAACCCAUGGGUCAAUAGGGAAAGAAGGGUUUGGCGGUACCUAAAGAAUGGUUCCGCGCCGCAUUAGCUAGUUGGUAAGGUAACGGCUUACCAAGGCAACGAUGCGUAGCCGACCUGAGAGGGUGAUCGGCCACACUGGAACUGAGACACGGUCCAGACUCCUACGGGAGGCAGCAGUAGGGAAUCUUCCGCAAUGGGCGAAAGCCUGACGGAGCAACGCCGCGUGAGUGAUGAAGGUCUUCGGAUCGUAAAACUCUGUUAUUAGGGAAGAACAAAUGUGUAAGUAACUAUGCACGUCUUGACGGUACCUAAUCAGAAAGCCACGGCUAACUACGUG
rnacentral:rRNA from 1 species